GACGAACGCUGGCGGCGUGCUUAACACAUGCAAGUCGAACGGAAAGGCCCUGCUUUUGUGGGGUGCUCGAGUGGCGAACGGGUGAGUAACACGUGAGUAACCUGCCCUUGACUUUGGGAUAACUUCAGGAAACUGGGGCUAAUACCGGAUAGGAGCUCCUGCUGCAUGGUGGGGGUUGGAAAGUUUCGGCGGUUGGGGAUGGACUCGCGGCUUAUCAGCUUGUUGGUGGGGUAGUGGCUUACCAAGGCUUUGACGGGUAGCCGGCCUGAGAGGGUGACCGGCCACAUUGGGACUGAGAUACGGCCCAGACUCCUACGGGAGGCAGCAGUGGGGAAUAUUGCACAAGGGGCGGAAGCCUGAUGCAGCAACGCCGCGUGCGGGAUGACGGCCUUCGGGUUGUAAACCGCUUUCGCCUGUGACGAAGCGUGAGUGACGGUAAUGGGUAAAGAAGCACCGGCUAACUACGUG
rnacentral:rRNA from 1 species